UGCCUAAUACAUGCAAGUCGAACGAAGAAGUAAGCUUGCUUACUUCUUAGUGGCGAACGGGUGAGUAAUACAUAAGCAAUCUGCCCAUAUGCCUGGGAUAGCCGUUGGAAACGAUGGCUAAUACCGGAUAGGUGAAUUGAAGGCAUCUUUGAUUCAUUAAAGUUGGGAUACAACACAUAUGGAUGAGCUUAUGGCGCAUUAGCUAGUUGGUGAGGUAACGGCUCACCAAGGCGAUGAUGCGUAGCCGACCUGAGAGGGUGACCGGCCACACUGGGACUGAGACACGGCCCAGACUCCUACGGGAGGCAGCAGUAGGGAAUUUUCGGCAAUGGGGGAAACCCUGACCGAGCAACGCCGCGUGAGUGAAGAAGGCCUUCGGGUUGUAAAGCUCUGUUGUAAGGGAAGAAGAGAUCAUAGAGGGAAUGCUAUGAUUGUGACGGUACCUUACCAGAAAGCCACGGCUAACUACGUGCCAGCAGCCGCGGUAAUACGUAGGUGGCGAGCGUUAUCCGGAAUUAUUGGGCGUAAAGGGUGCGUAGCGCGGCACNUUACGUCUAAGGUUNAGUUCGAGGCUCAUCUUCGGAUUG
rnacentral:rRNA from 1 species